rnacentral:rRNA from 1 species
GAUGAACGCUGGCGGCGUGCCUAAUACAUGCAAGUCGAACGCUGGAGCUCUAGCUUGCUCGCUCGAAGGAGUGGCGCACGGGUGAGUAAUACAUAAGCAACCUACCCACGAAGACUGGGAUAAUCUCUGGAAACGGGGACUAAUACCGGAUAGGUAAUCGGAAGGCCUCUUCUGGUUAUUAAAGGUUAAAAACACUGGUGGAUGGGCUUAUGGCGCAUUAGUUAGUUGGUGAGGUAACGGCCCACCAAGACGAUGAUGCGUAGCCGGCCUGAGAGGGUGAACGGCCACAUUGGGACUGAGACACGGCCCAGACUCCUACGGGAGGCAGCAGUAGGGAAUUGUCGGCAAUGGGGGCAACCCUGACCGAGCAACGCCGCGUGAGUGAAGACGGCCUUCGGGUUGUAAAGCUCUGUUGUAAGGGAAGAACGGUAGAUAGAGAAUAUCUAAGUGACGGUACCUUACCAGAAAGCCACGGCUAACUACGUG